GAUGAACGCUGGCGGCGUGCCUAAUACAUGCAAGUCGAGCGAACAGACGAGGAGCUUGCUCCUUUGACGUUAGCGGCGGACGGGUGAGUAACACGUGGAUAACCUACCUAUAAGACUGGGAUAACUUCGGGAAACCGGAGCUAAUACCGGAUAACAUGUUGAACCGCAUGGUUCAACAGUGAAAGACGGUCUUGCUGUCACUUAUAGAUGGAUCCGCGCCGCAUUAGCUAGUUGGUAGGUAACGGCUUACCAAGGCAACGAUGCGUAGCCGACCUGAGAGGGUGAUCGGCCACACUGGAACUGAGACACGGUCCAGACUCCUACGGGAGGCAGCAGUAGGGAAUCUUCCGCAAUGGGCGAAAGCCUGACGGAGCAACGCCGCGUGAGUGAAGAAGGUCUUCGGAUCGUAAAACUCUGUUAUUAGGGAAGAACAAAUGUGUAAGUAACUAUGCACGUCUUGACGGUACCUAAUCAGAAAGCCACGGCUAACUACGUG
rnacentral:rRNA from 1 species